UUGCGCAUUUGGCCUGAUGGUGGCACGAGUCAAAAUCGUUGGACCGCGAGGCCACAUUGGUGGAGACGUUCAAGUACACCCACACGCUGAAGGAGAACAAAGCGAGAUUUGUUGAUCAGCGGUCUCGGGACCAUUGUGUGAAAGUCCUACACACAGAGACUAGAGACCGUGACUCAGCA